GACGAACGCUGGCGGCGUGCUUAACACAUGCAAGUCGAACGGUAAGGCCCUUCGGGGUACACGAGUGGCGAACGGGUGAGUAACACGUGGGUGAUCUGCCCUGCACUUCGGGAUAAGCCUGGGAAACUGGGUCUAAUACCGGAUAGGACUCCGGACUGCAUGGUCUGGGGUGGAAAGCUUUUGCGGUGUGGGAUGGGCCCGCGGCCUAUCAGCUUGUUGGUGGGGUGAUGGCCUACCAAGGCGAGGCAGGGUAGCCGGCCUGAGAGGGUGACCGGCCACACUAGGGCUGAGAUACGGCCCAUACUCCUACAGGAGGCAGCAGUUGGGAAGAUUGCACAAUGGGCGCAAGCCUGAUGCAGCGGCGCCGCGUGAGGGAUGACGGCCUUCGGGUUGUAAACCUCUUUCAGCAUCGACGAAGCGAAAGUGACGGUAGGUGCAGAAGAAGGACCGGCCAACUACGUGCCAGCAGCCGCCGCCG
rnacentral:rRNA from 1 species